UUUCCAUGUUUUUUCCUGACAUACUUCGUUUGUUGAAACUGCUAUCCAUUUUUUCCAAAAUGUCACUAGCUCGUUUCGUCACAACACUUUCAGAACAAUUAAAUUAUGAGUAAAGACCAUUAUGGAAAUGAGGAUUACAUUUGUUAUUUUCAAGUUGGAAAACUUGACAACUAUAUAUUCCUUUGUAAGAUGUAUCAAGCCAGGUGAAGUCUGCGCUUCUUUGUUGCAGUCUAAUGUGCACAUGGAUUGGUUGCAGUCAUCCAGUGAAAGGUGUGAUUAAACUGAGCUGUUGCAUGCAGUCUUUGGUGCCGAUGUUGUCCUGGAGUUUGGGGGAGUUCCAUGCUUUCAGUCUUAUGGAAUCAGCCAUAUCUGAGUUUGACACUGGAUCACGCUGCAUUUUGGUUGCCAAAAUGUUGGACAUCCAGUAGAACUGCAAGAAGCCUUCUUGAAAUGGUUUAUGUUUACGUAGCAGUGAUGUUGCUGUCCAAUAUGGUCUGUUGUUGCAGCCUAUACUGGUGAAAGAUCUUUGCAUCGAGUUAAACUGUUGCUGUUCCUUGGUGUCGGACUGCUGGUGUUGUCGGUGUUGUGCACAAAAGUUACAUCCAGUUUUAAUUGUUAUUUGUGUCUAUACAGUUAACUGUUUACAUGUUGAAAAGGAAGAGAAACGGUUCCUUGGUGUUGAAUCGCUGGUGUUGUGCUACAGAAGUUACAUCCAGUAUUUUGUUUAAUUGCCAUUUGCGUCUAUGAAGUUAACCGUUUAUAUGCUGAGAAUGAAAAAAAAGUAAUACGGGGAAUUUUUACGUUGAACAAAUAAUAAACAUGCCUUCGCGAUUGGGAAAUCAACGAGGAGAUUGGGUGGAGGGCAUUUUUAUUUUCAUUAACUAGAAGUUGUGGUUUGUUUUAAUGAGUUGGUAAUAAAAUCCUUUGUCAAUCACA